UUUAAUUCGAAGCAACGCGAAGAACCUUACCAAAUCUUGACAUCCUCUGACCCCUCUAGAGAUAGAGUUUUCCCCUUCGGGGGACAGAGUGACAGGUGGUGCAUGGUUGUCGUCAGCUCGUGUCGUGAGAUGUUGGGUUAAGUCCCGCAACGAGCGCAACCCUUAAGCUUAGUUGCCAUCAUUAAGUUGGGCACUCUAAGUUGACUGCCGGUGACAAACCGGAGGAAGGUGGGGAUGACGUCAAAUCAUCACGCCCCUUAUGAUUUGGGCUACACACGUGCUACAAUGGACAAUACAAAGGGUAGCGAAACCGCGAGGUCAAGCAAAUCCCAUAAAGUUGUUCUCAGUUCGGAUUGUAGUCUGCAACUCGACUACAUGAAGCUGGAAUCGCUAGUAAUCGUAGAUCAGCAUGCUA
rnacentral:rRNA from 1 species